UUUAGCUGUGACUGGCAGCACAAAUGAUGCCGCCCUCCUUCCUCGGUUUGGUCCUAUUCCAGCUUUUGAACUGCGGACCAGGGAACAGUCAGGCUCCUGCAUCAGAGAAAGUGAGGCUGAGACUGGUGAAUGGGGGCAGUCGUUGCGCUGGAAGAGUGGAG